rnacentral:tmRNA from 1 species
GGGGAUGACCGGUUUUGACAGCAAGAUCAGUUAAUCCGUAAGCAUGUGGAGCGAUGAAAUUGCACUCCUAAAACGCUAUUUCGCUUAUAAUAAACGGCGAGAAUAACUACGCUUUAGCUGCCUAAUAAUCUUACAGUAAGAUUAUGGCCUAGUCCCGCAAGGCGGGAAAGCUAAAUGUCUCUUGAAAGCCUUGGUUAACGGCAGUCAGUAUAGAGGCAUCGUAAAAGUUGACCUAGAAACCGUUUGGCUUUGGUGCGGUUUUGAAAUUUAAGAAGCUAAGUUACUGGUAGGUUGUUUUUAGCCAGCUUGUAACCGACAAUAAAUUAAAAACUAAACAUGUAGAAAGCGGUUUAGUUGCUUGUUUGGACGAGGGUUCGAAUCCCUCCAUCUCCACUU